UUCAUGAACUUGUUGAGACAG
rnacentral:piRNA from 1 species